AAUAUUGAUAUUUCCAAUA
rnacentral:snRNA from 1 species